rnacentral:rRNA from 1 species
GGGGGAUAACGUCCGGAAACGGGCGCUAAUACCGCAUACGUCCUGAGGGAGAAAGUGGGGGAUCUUCGGACCUCACGCUAUCAGAUGAGCCUAGGUCGGAUUAGCUAGUUGGUGGGGUAAAGGCCUACCAAGGCGACGAUCCGUAACUGGUCUGAGAGGAUGAUCAGUCACACUGGAACUGAGACACGGUCCAGACUCCUACGGGAGGCAGCAGUGGGGAAUAUUGGACAAUGGGCGAAAGCCUGAUCCAGCCAUGCCGCGUGUGUGAAGAAGGUCUUCGGAUUGUAAAGCACUUUAAGUUGGGAGGAAGGGCAGUAAGUUAAUACCUUGCUGUUUUGACGUUACCAACAGAAUAAGCACCGGCUAACUUCGUGCCAGCAGCCGCGGUAAUACGAAGGGUGCAAGCGUUAAUCGGAAUUACUGGGCGUAAAGCGCGCGUAGGUGGUUCAGCAAGUUGGAUGUGAAAUCCCCGGGCUCAACCUGGGAACUGCAUCCAAAACUACUGAGCUAGAGUACGGUAGAGGGUGGUGGAAUUUCCUGUGUAGCGGUGAAAUGCGUAGAUAUAGGAAGGAACACCAGUGGCGAAGGCGACCACCUGGACUGAUACUGACACUGA